rnacentral:rRNA from 1 species
GGGCGUAAGCGUGCGCAGGCGGUUCGCUAAGACAGAUGUGAAAUCCCGGGCUUAACCUGGGAACUGCAUUUGUGACUGGCGGGCUAGAGUAUGGCAGAGGGGGGUAGAAUUCCACGUGUAGCAGUGAAAUGCGUAGAGAUGUGGAGGAAUACCGAUGGCGAAGGCAGCCUUCUGGGCCAAUACUGACGCUCAUGCACGAAAGCGUGGGGAGCAAACAGGAUUAGAUACUCUGGUAGUUCACGCUCUAAACGAUGUCAACUAGUUGUCGGGUCUUCAUUUGACUUGGUAACGUAGCUAACGCGUGAAGUUUGACCGCCUGGGGAGUACGGUCGCAAGAUUAAAACUCAAAGGAAUCGACGGGGACUUGCACAAGCGGUGGAUUGAAUGUGGAAUUAAUUUCGAUUGCAACGCGAAAAACCUUACCCUACCCCUUUGACAUUGGUCCGGAAACCCCUGCUUGAAAAGGUGGGGGUUGCUUCGAAAGAAAAACCGAUACACAGGUGCUUGCAUGGCUUGUUCGUCCAGCUUCGUGUCGUGAGAUGUUUGGGGUUAAAGUUCCCGCAAACGAGCGCAACCCCUUUGUUCCUCUAGUUUGCUACGCAAGAAGCACUUCUAGGGAGACUGCCCGGUGACAAACCCGGGAGGUAGGUGGGGGAUGACGUUCAAGUCUCUCAUGGCUCCUUUAUGGGGUAGGGCUUUCCACACGUCCAUACAAUGGGUCGGAAACAGAGGGUCGUCCAAUCUCGCGAGGGGGAGCUCAAUCCCUCAGAAAACUCGAUCGUAGUCCCGGAUCGCACUUCUGCCAACUUCGAGUGCGUGAAAGCUGGGAAUCCGCUAGUAAUCGCGGGAUCAGCAUGCCCGCGGGUGAAUACGUUUCCCCGGUCCUUGCACACACC